rnacentral:lncRNA from 1 species
AUGGGGGCGCAGCUCCGCCUCCUGGCCCCACCCCCACCCUGCUGGCCUCGCCAUGGGAAGGGACGGCAGGGGGCACCUGCUGUGCGCCGGGCUCUGCUUUGGGCGCCAAGAGCCCUCACUCCGACAGCCUGUCCGUCCGCCUGUCUACCUGUCUACCUGUCUGUCCGCCUGUCCAUCCGCCUGUCUGUCUGCCUGUCUGUCCAUCCGUCCACCCCUGUGGGACGCAGCGACGCCUGCAAGGGCGGGCUUAACUGCCCGGAAACGGAAGUCCGGCUCCUUUCCGCCUCUCUCCCUUCUCGCUGCUGCCGUGAGUCGCUUCCCGGCGGUGUUCGGGCGAAGUGCUGGUCCGCGGCCUGGUCGCCAUGGUGAGUACGCCCCGCUGGCCCUGCCCCGGGGGCUCCGGGCCGCGAGGGCGCGCGCCGACCCCUGUCCUGUGUUUCAGCCCCGGAAAAUCGAGGAGAUCAAGGACUUCCUGCUCACGGCCCGGCGGAAGGAUGCCAAGUGUGGGUGGCCGCGCGGGCGCGUCGCGGGCGGGAGAGGGGCGCGGGCGGCGCGGGCUCGGGGGCCGUGGAAUCACGUGUCUGAAAGAACAGCAGCGAGGAGGAGAGGGAGAGGUCUCCCAUCCGCUGUCCACUCCCCCGAGGGCCGCCGUGGCCAGGGCUCCCACGCGGGUGCAGGGCCCAAGCACUGGGGCCAGCCUCCACUGCCCUCCCGGGCCCAGCAGGGAGCGGGAUGGGAAGUGGAGCAGCCGGGACUCGAACCGGCGCCCACGCGGCUGCAGGCCCCCAGGUGUCCUCUCAGCCCGCCGGCGUCGAGGGCGCUGAGCUGCUGUCCGCGGACUGACCGUCCGACCGAGGCUCUGAGCCCCGGCCCCUGCGCCCGCGAGGUGGGCGGGGGUGGACCUGCUGCGCCUGCAGGGUGGGCGUUGGGGGGUCGGCGCUGGCGCCAGGGACCGAGCAGAGCCACGGAGCCGCGAUCAGCCCUCGGCCGCCUGCUGCUGCGUGACCCUGGCCGGGCGGGGCAGGUUCCUCCCGCAGACCCAGGUGGCCGCGGCCGGCCGCGCGCUCGGUGUCCGGCUGUCGGCUCGGUGUCCACGCUGCGCUGCUGGGCGUGAGCUCCGCUGAGCCGAGGUCCUGGACGCGGCAGCCGUGGCGCUGGGGGAGGGGGCGCACUGGGGACCCUGCCCCGUGGGGAGCCUGGGGGGAGCCCCGCCUCUGGGGCCCCGCGCCCACACGGGCUCCUGGCUGGCCCCGCAAGCUGGGGGCGUGGAGGAGCGGGCCCGCAGGGAGACCUCAUAACCGGGC